AUCGAAAGUUCGCUUGUAAUUAAAUAAUAAUAUACUAAUUUUCUACCCGGGCGAAAAGCGCCUACUUUUCUCCCGCUGCAUCUGUAAGAAACGUAGAUGUCGCUUCCCGCCUUCCUCUCUUCUCGCUGCGUAAAACGAAGUUGCCGCUUUCUUACUAUACUGUCCUAGGUUAAGGAACUAGUGCGCAUGCUUCUAUUUUUUAGCGCAUGCGCACUAAUUCGUUACUACAUUCAAGCGGGAGGGAAUGAGGCACUUUUCUCCCUGGCACAGAUUCAACCGGGCGGGAAUGGGGCACUUUGCUCCCUGAAAACAGGGAGCAAAAUACGUACUUUCCAUCCAG